GACAGAGGUGCCGAGCGUUAGGCGGAAUCACUGGGCUUAAAGCGUGUGUAGGCGGAUGGGUAAGUACCUUGUGAAAUCCCACGGCUCAACCGUGGAACUGCUCGGUAUACUGCCCGUCUUGAGCCAGCUAGGGGCAACCGGAACAAACGGUGGAGCGGUGAAAUGCGUAGAUAUCGAGAGGAACACCAGAGGUGAAGACGGGUUGCUGGGCUGACACUGACGCUGAGGCGCGAAAGCCAGGGGAGCAAACGGG
rnacentral:rRNA from 1 species